rnacentral:rRNA from 1 species
AGUGAACGCUGGCGGUAGGCCUAACACAUGCAAGUCGAACGGCAGCACAGUAAGAGCUUGCUCUUACGGGUGGCGAGUGGCGGACGGGUGAGGAAUACAUCGGAAUCUACUUUUUCGUGGGGGAUAACGUAGGGAAACUUACGCUAAUACCGCAUACGAACUACGGGUGAAAGCAGGGGAUCUUCGGACCUUGCGCGAUUGAAUGAGCCGAUGUCGGAUUAGCUAGUUGGCGGGGUAAAGGCCCACCAAGGCGACGAUCCGUAGCUGGUCUGAGAGGAUGAUCAGCCACACUGGAACUGAGACACGGUCCAGACUCCUACGGGAGGCAGCAGUGGGGAAUAUUGGACAAUGGGCGCAAGCCUGAUCCAGCCAUACCGCGUGGGUGAAGAAGGCCUUCGGGUUGUAAAGCCCUUUUGUUGGGAAAGAAAAGCAGCAGGUUAAUACCCCGCUGUUCUGACGGUACCCAAGGAAUAAGCACCGGCUAACUUCGUG